GCUCCCUCCGUCCCUCUCUUGUUCAAUUAAUAGGAAUUGAUACGCGACUUCGAUAUUUCUGAGGGUAGAAAUUGAUGGACCAGCAGGCAAAAUCGGACCAACCCUGUAAUUGAUACGCGACUUCGAGUGGAGAAGAAGCAAAAUAAUCUCUGAGAUAUAAAUCUCCGUCGACCCAGUUCAGGACUUGCGCGCUCACUUUCACGGCUUGCUUUCCUAUUUAGAAACAAAUACUAUGUGAUUGGAAUUUUGGAAAGGUGCUAAGUUUUUUGUAAAAUUAGUUGGUCAUUAUUAUCCCUUGUUAUUGAUUUUAAUUAUUUUUUCGAUAAAAGUUUUAGUUGAUUGAUGGUAAGGGUAGUCAAACGGGGUGGAUCGUUCAGUUAUUGGGUUGAGCUACUUGAGUAUCAUUUUGUGGUUUAAGAGGAGAGAAAGGAGCUGGUAGUUAUGAGCUGUCAAUAUGGUAUGAUUAUUCUGGUCCCAUUAAUAGUAAUAUAAUUAACAGCAGUGAGGUUCAAGUACAAUUCUAAUUUAGAAAUAUCAUGUCUUAUCUGCGUAACUUGAACUAUCUGAGGAAAAUCAGAUGCAAAUUCUUAUCUUAAUUUUGGUGGAAAUGGUCAAAAUGACUAUUGUCAUCACUUAGGACGUUGGCUGAAGUGUUUCCAUAAUGUUCUUGACGUAAUACUGUCUUCUUGCUCACCCUAUUGAUUUUGUAUGAGCAGGAGUGAGAAUUUUGAAAACUAAGAUCUCUGAUCAUUUGACUAAAUGCGUUUGCUUAAAGAACUAAUCUGAUUUUUUUUUUUCUUUUGGUUUCUAUUUGGGCUAUUCUUGACCUGCAAAAUGUGUUGAUGAUUUAUUAUAUUUAACAAUCCUUAUGGAAUCAAAUGAGGUUUCAGCAAAUACAAAAUGAACUUUCUUUUUGGUCUUGCUGCAAGCAACUUUCUGUCCUUAAAUAUCAAACGUCUCGUUACUUGAAGAUCAUUUUUAUUCCUUGUUCAAAUUUCCUUGCCUUGCACAGUCCAUUUGUACUUAUGGAUAAACUUUUCAUUCCAUAUAUGUAAAUAGUGUUAGGUUUUCCUAUGAUUGUGUUAAUGUCGUAUUUCAACUGGCCAUACCCCCUUACAGAAUCUGUCAUAAUUAAUUAUGCUCUGAUGAGUGGGGUGUCAAAACAUUUUCCUACGGAAGAAGUGGCAGUAUGUUGUAUAUUUUUACUUUGCUCUUAGUAUAUUACUCUUCAGUGCAGAUUUUGGAGCCAUAGAGUAUAUCCUUUUUUUAAAAAAAAAAAAAAAACAUUCAGAAGCUUUGAACCCUGUACCAUUGCCUAGAUCCCUCCCGUACCACCUAAGCUAGCCUUUAUGGAAUUAAAAAUUAAAAAUUCUGAUCACAUUGUAAUACCGUAGAAGUGAAAAUGAGACCUGUUUUUAUCUCUAUUCCAAAAGUAGUACACUGUAUAUAGUCCUUGGAAGAAAUUUUGAUUUUUAACAGAUUCUAAAUUAUUGAUAAUGUUAAGAAACUCCCCCCCCCCUCCCCCUAAAAUAAAAAAGACUUUCCUAAGGUGCUUACCCUUUUGUGAUGCUGCUAUUUUCAUACUGGACUUCCGCAGAGCUUUUACCAAUAUCUCCUUGGAAAUCUCUUAUAUGUUCUUUUAUUUGGUUUAUCCAUUUUAUCUUGUAUGCAUGCGGGGAAUGUAAUGGAUAAAAGUUGGAUAGAUAUUAAGGAUAGAGCCAAUAUCAGGUAUAUAAGAGGAAUAGAUAGUUUCUUGCAAUGGGCAUUUAGCCAAAAUGGAGUGAAAGACUUAAUACGUUAUCCUUGCAAGGGGUGUAGGAACUCUUAUGUUUAAAUCGUGAAAUGACAUAAGAUUUGAUCUUUUAAAGAGGGGUUUUUUGGAUAGUUGCAAAGUGUGGGAUAUGUAUGGGUAGAGAAGAGUGAAGAGGGAAUGUGGGACUUCCAACAUUGUGGUGGAAGUAUGUGAUGCCAAUGGAGUUCCAUGUGGGACUUCCAACAUCGUGGCUGGACCCAAGGAUCUUGUGCUGCAACAAGACUCAAAUAGUGAUUGCCAUCUGACCUCAAACAAGAUUUUAAGCCAAGUUCUUGGUAAAAGGUCAGGGUAUGCUAGAGGUAAAAAGUACGGAAUGCAUCCUAUGAAAAAAAGGACUCAAUCUCAAUCUUUUGAGAUGGAAAAAAUACAACAGCAUAUGAAGGCAGAUUUUGAUAGGAGACUUCAACAAAAGUGCGAGCAAUUGGAACAGCGUUUUUCGCCAAGGAUUCAGGAUGAAGUGGCUGCCAUCAUGGCUUCAUUUCAGUCAGGACAGCCUCGAGCACAAACUCCAGCUCCAAAUCCAACUCCAACCAAUGAUGUAUGUAGUAGCGUUGCUAGUUCCUAAUAAUUUAGUUGUUAUAUUGUUUUUCCUCUCUUAUAUAUAUUGUUGAAUUGCUUAUGUAUUCUUGUAUUGUUGAACUGGAUGAUUGUUGUUGUGGAUUCUUGUAUUGUUGUUCUAGGUUCUUAUUUUUGUUGCUGUA